rnacentral:rRNA from 1 species
AUUGGAGGCACUGCCUGCCCAGUGACUAGACGUUAAACGGCCGCGGUAUCCUGACCGUGCAAAGGUAGCAUAAUCAUUUGUUCUCUAAAUAAGGACUUGUAUGAAUGGCCACACGAGGGUUUUACUGUCUCUUACUUCCAAUCAGUGAAAUUGACCUCCCCGUGAAGAGGCGGGGAUAAACCAACAAGACGAGAAGACCCUAUGGAGCUUUAACUAACUAACUCAAAGAAAACAAACUUAACCAUCAAGGGAUAACAAUACUCUUUAUGAGCUAGCAGUUUUGGUUGGGGUGACCUCGGAGAACAAAAAAUCCUCCGAACGAUUUUAAAGACUAGACUAACAAGUCAAACCAAAUUAUCAUUUAUUGAUCCAAAAAACUUGAUCAACGGAACAAGUUACCCUAGGGAUAACAGCGCAAUCCUAUUCAAGAGUCCAUAUCGACAAUAGGGUUUACGACCUCGAUGUUGGAUCAGGACACCCCGAUGGUGCAACCGCUAUCAAAGGUUCGUUUGUUCAACGAUUAAAGUCCUACGUGAUCUGAGUUCAAACCGGAGAA